rnacentral:rRNA from 1 species
AAGUUCGAUUAUGGCUCAGAUUGAACGCUGGCGGGAUGCUUUACAUGCAGAUCGAACGGCAGCACGGACUUCGGUCUGGUGGCGAGUGGCAGAGCAGAGUGAAGUAAUGUCGGAACGUGCCACAAUGGCAGGGGAUAACUACGCGAAAGCGUAGCUAAUACCGCAUACGCCCUUCGAGGGGAAAGCAGGGGACCUUCGGGCCUCGCGCUAUGAAACAGCCGAUAUCCGGAUUAGCUAGUUGGUGGGAGUAACGGCUCACCAAGGCGACGAUGCGUAGCUGGUUUGAGAGGACGACCAGCCACUGGGACUGGAACGGCCCAGAGCUCCUACAGGAGAACCAGCAGUGGGAAUUUUGGACAAUGGGGAAACCCUGAUCCAGCCAUCCCGCGUGUGCGAUGAGGCCUUCGGGUUUAUCGCACUUUGGCGGAAAGAAACGGCGCAGGAUAGCCCGUGCAACUGACGGUACCUGCAGAAUAAGCACCGGCUAACUACGUGCCAGCAGCCGCGGUAAUACGUAAAGGGUUGACGUUAAUCAGGAAUUACUGGGCGUAAAGCGUGCGCAGGCGGUUCGGAAAGAUGUGAAAUCCCAGAGCUUAACUUUGGAACUGCAUUUAACUACCGAGCUAGGGGUGUCGAAGGAGGUGGAAUUCCGCGCGUAGCAGUGAAAUGCGUAGAUAUGCGGAGGAACACCGAUGGCGAGGCAGCCUCCUGGGAUAGCACUGACGCUCAUGCACGAAAGCGUGGGAGCAAACAGGAUUAGAUACCCUGGUAGUCCACGCCCUAACGAUGUCAACUAGCUGUUGGGGCCUUCGGGCAUGUUGGCCGCAGCUAACGCGUGAAGUUGACCGCCUGGGAAGUACGGUCGCAAGAUUAAAACUCAAAGGAAUUGACGGGGACCCGCACAAGCGGUGGAUGAUGUGGAUUAAUUCGAUGCAACGCGAAAAACCUUACCUACCCUUAGCCUUGUCUGGAAUCGAAGAGAUUUGCGGGAGUGCUCGCAAGAGAACCGGAACACAGGUGCUGCAUGGCUGUCGUCAGCUCGUGUCGUGAGAUGUUGGGUUAAGUCCCGCAACGAGCGCAACCCUUGUCAUUGAGUUGCUGCGAAAGAAGGCAUCGGCGAUUUCUCGGUGACAAACCGGAAGGUGGGGAUGACGUCAGUCCUCGCGAGCAUAUGGAAUUGGGGCUUCACACGUCAUACAAUGGUCAGGACAGAGGGUCGCCAACCCGCGAGGAGGCCGUCAGAAACCCAGUCGUAGUCGGAUCGCAGUCUGCAACUCGACUGCGGAAGUCGGAAUCGCUAGUAAUCGCGGAUCAACGCGUCGCGGUGAAUACAUUCCCAAGGUCUUGUACACACCGCCCGUCUACCACCAUGGGAAUUGGGUUUUACCAGAAGUAGUUAGCCUAACCGUAAGGAGGGCGAUUACCACGGUAGGAUUCAUGACUGGGAAUUGAAGUCGUAACAAGGUAG